rnacentral:rRNA from 1 species
UCCGUAGGCGGUGCGGCAAGUCGGAAGUGAAAUCUCAGGGCUUAACCCUGAGGCUGCUUCCGAAACUGCCGUGCUCGAGUGCGAGAGAGGCGAGUGGAAUUGCAGGUGUAGCGGUGAAAUGCGUAGAUAUCUGCAGGAACAUCCGAGGCGAAAGCGGCUCGCUGGAUCGCAACUGACGCUGAGGGACGAAAGCUAGGGGAGCAAACAGGAUUAGAUACCCUGGUAGCCCUAGCCCUAAACGAUCAGGACUGGGCGUGGGCCUCGUACGGGGCUCGUGCCGCAGCUAACGCGUUAAGUCCUGCGCCUGGGGAGUACGGUCGCAAGGCUGAA